rnacentral:rRNA from 1 species
GACGAACGCUGGCGGCGUGCUUAACACAUGCAAGUCGAACGGAAAGGCCCCUUUGGGGGUCCUCGAGUGGCGAACGGGUGAGUAACACGUGAGUAACCUGCCCUUGACUUCGGGAUAACUUCAGGAAACUGGGGCUAAUACCGGAUAGGAAUCCUUGCUGCAUGGUGGGGGUUGGAAAGCUUCGGCGGUUUUGGAUGGACUCGCGGCUUAUCAGCUUGUUGGUGGGGUAGUGGCUUACCAAGGCUUUGACGGGUAGCCGGCCUGAGAGGGCGACCGGCCACAUUGGGACUGAGAUACGGCCCAGACUCCUACGGGAGGCAGCAGUGGGGAAUAUUGCACAAUGGGCGGAAGCCUGAUGCAGCAACGCCGCGUGCGGGAUGACGGCCUUCGGGUUGUAAACCGCUUUCAGCAGGGGCGAAGCUUGUGGUGACGGUACCUGCAGAAGAAGCACCGGCUAACUACGUG